AUUGAACGCUGGCGGCAUGCCUUACACAUGCAAGUCGAACGGCAGCACGGGAGCAAUCCUGGUGGCGAGUGGCGAACGGGUGAGUAAUAUAUCGGAACGUGCCCAGUCUGGGGGAUAACGUAGCGAAAGCUACGCUAAUACCGCAUACGAUCUAUGGAUGAAAGCGGGGGAUCGCAAGACCUCGCGCGAUUGGAGCGGCCGAUAUCAGAUUAGGUAGUUGGUGAGGUAAAGGCUCACCAAGCCGACGAUCUGUAGCUGGUCUGAGAGGACGACCAGCCACACUGGGACUGAGACACGGCCCAGACUCCUACGGGAGGCAGCAGUGGGGAAUUUUUGGGACAAUGGGCGCAAGCCUGAUCCAGCAAUGCCGCGUGCAGGAUGAAGGCCU
rnacentral:rRNA from 1 species